rnacentral:rRNA from 1 species
AUGAACGCUGGCGGCGUGCCUCAUACAUGCAAGUCGCGCGCACGGACGAGAAGCUUGCUUCUCUGAUGUUAGCGGCGGACGGGUGAGUAACACGUGGAUAACCUACCUAUAAGACUGGGAUAACUUCGGGAAACCGGAGCUAAUACCGGAUAAUAUUUUGAACCGCAUGGUUCAAAAGUGAAAGACGGUCUUGCUGUCACUUAUAGAUGGAUCCGCGCUGCAUUAGCUAGUUGGUAAGGUAACGGCUUACCAAGGCAACGAUGCAUAGCCGACCUGAGAGGGUGAUCGGCCACACUGGAACUGAGACACGGUCCAGACUCCUACGGGAGGCAGCAGUAGGGAAUCUUCCGCAAUGGGCGAAAGCCUGACGGAGCAACGCCGCGUGAGUGAUGAAGGUCUUCGGAUCGUAAAACUCUGUUAUUAGGGAAGAACAUAUGUGUAAGUAACUGUGCACAUCUUGACGGUACCUAAUCAGAAAGCCACGGCUAACUACGUG